GUUUUAAUAGUUUAAUAAAAAUAAUAGUCUUGUAAACUAAAAUUAGGAUAUAUCCUUUAAAACU
rnacentral:tRNA from 1 species